GUAUACUACUGUACGUUUAGAGGAAGAAAUUGGAAGAAAUAUCGGGUGAAAUAUGGCUUCGAGCAGGCUCACUGGAGAUCGGAGGUGAUUCGAAAAGAGAGUGUCAUAUGCUGCAAACCUUGUGAGCCCUAUGCGAUCGUCAUAGAAAGAACUUCAAAUUAACUGAUACCGUGAUUAUCAGUGGUAAAAUCCCACACCACACCUAAAUGAAUCAGAAAAAGUUUGCAGGGAGCAAGUAAUUAAGAAGGAAAGACUGGAGUACAACAUGUUCAUGAAGAGAUGAUUGAAGGGUUUGGACUACGGCAGGGUGCUUCCAGACACGCUGAGCUUUUAAAAAGGUUCUAUGUUGGAUGAGAGAGCAAGGUUGCAAAUGAUGUUGAAAUGGGAUAUUAUGUUUAUACAGAGAAAUAAAGAGUUUCAAGAGCAUUGAAUCCCAGUUUGGAA